UAGCAUGCUACUGUGGAGUUAAUAGCCACUCAGGCUCACAAAGCUGCUGCAGGGAGGGGUGCCAGGAAGAAGCUGCCCUAGGAGCAGGAAGAGGGAGCCUUCUAGUGUGUUAUCUGAAACUGGGGCUAGGUAAAAAUGUUGUCUUCCAUUCAGCACUAGUACAUGAACUGAAAUAUCCUCCUGUAGCAGUAGCAGUGAAAAAAGGCAUGGAACAACACUUCAAAUGGAAUCAGGGACCGAGGUGCACGUAUUCUUAACAAGGUGAAGGCAGAGCUGUCACAAGCCAGAGGAGAAUG